rnacentral:snRNA from 1 species
GUGCUCGAUUCAGCAGCACAUAUACUAAAAUUGGAAUGAUACAGAGAAGAUUAGCAUGGCCCCUGCUCAAGGAUGAUAUGCAAAUUCGUGAAGCAUUCCAUAUUUUU